ACUCCUACGGGAGGCAGCAGUGGGGAAUAUUGCACAAUGGGCGCAAGCCUGAUGCAGCCAUGCCGCGUGUGUGAAGAAGGCCUUCGGGUUGUAAAGCACUUUCAGUAGGGAGGAAGGUAGUGUAGUUAAUAGCUGCAUUAUUUGACGUUAGCGACAGAAGAAGCACCGGCUAACUCCGUGCCAGCAGCCGCGGUAAUACGGAGGGUGCGAGCGUUAAUCGGAAUUACUGGGCGUAAAGCGCAUGCAGGUGGUUUGUUAAGUCAGAUGUGAAAGCCCGGGGCUCAACCUCGGAAUAGCAUUUGAAACUGGCAGACUAGAGUACUGUAGAGGGGGGUAGAAUUUCAGGUGUAGCGGUGAAAUGCGUAGAGAUCUGAAGGAAUACCAGUGGCGAAGGCGGCCCCCUGGACAGAUACUGACACUCAGAUGCGAAAGCUGGGGAGCAAACAGGAUUAGAUACCCUGGUAGGAUAGCG
rnacentral:rRNA from 1 species